AACGCACAUUGCGCCCCUUGGCAUUCCGGGGGGCACACCUGUUCGAGCGCCAUUUUGACCCUCAAGCACAGCUUGGUGUUGGGCUAGGUCCCGGGGGACCUUCCCGUAACUCGUAGGCGGCCGACGCCCGCGCCCCCAGCGUAGCAAGCUCACGCGUUCGCUCGGGGACGGCGCGUCUGGCCCGCCAGGCAAAACCUAAACCCUUUCAAGGUUUGGCCUCGGAUCAGGUGGGGAUACCCGCUGAACUUAA
rnacentral:misc_RNA from 1 species